UACGUAGGGUGCGAGCGUUGUCCGGAAUUAUUGGGCGUAAAGAGCUCGUAGGCGGCUUGUCGCGUCGGAUGUGAAAGCCCGGGGCUUAACUCCGGGUCUGCAUUCGAUACGGGCAGACUAGAGUUCGGUAGGGGAGUGGGGAAUUCCUAGUGUAGCGGUGAAAUGCGCAGAUAUUAGGAGGAACACCGGUGGCGAAGGCGGCUCUCUGGACCGAUACUGACGCUGAGGCGCGAAAGCGUGGGGAGCAAACAGG
rnacentral:rRNA from 1 species